UACAGAGGGGGCCAGCGUUAUUCGGAAUUAUUGGGCGUAAAGGGCGCGUAGGCGGCCAUGCGUGUCUUCCGUGAAAUCCCUCGGCUUAACUGAGGACGUGCGGAAGAAACUGCAAGGCUCGAGUCCGGGGAGAGGGGGGGUGGAAUUCCCAGUGUAGCGGUGAAAUGCGUAGAUAUUGGGAGGAACACCGGCGGCGAAGGCGGCCCCCCUGGACCGGUACUGACGGCUGAGG
rnacentral:rRNA from 1 species